CUUUGCUGGUCCUCGCCUCACAGAGAGAAACGUGCCAAAGAACUUCGCGGUGUUCUGGCUGAUGCUUGCCACUUCUGCUGACUUGUGUCGACUCAGUGAAGCCUUGCGGUUCCUGCUGGAUGGAGCUGCUGCUGCUGAUCUGUGUUUAGUGUUUGCUAUUGGACUGGACUGCUGGUAUCCUGACAAUGAAGAAUGGAAUCUCCCCGCAAAGAACUACUUCCAAACAGGCCAACAUCUCCCUUGUCCUAUAAACCUUCUUGUCCUCCUACCUCCGCCUCAGGUCCCCGCCCAUUGGAUGGUGCUGUGCAUGCUUGUACUGAGUCUUCCCAUCAGUUAACCCGAUGUAGAAACUCUCAAAGAAGAAAUGCUUUCCAAUAUCUUCUCUUCCUAAGCCCUGCUCUGCCAGAACACAGAACCCCAAAUCCCUCGCCUGUGU